AGUAACACGUGAGCAACCUACCUUUCAGUGGGGGACAACAUUUGGAAACGAAUGCUAAUACCGCAUAAGACCACAGUGUCGCAUGGCACAGGGGUCAAAGGAUUUAUCCGCUGAAAGAUGGGCUCGCGUCCGAUUAGCUAGAUGGUGAGGUAACGGCCCACCAUGGCGACGAUCGGUAGCUGGACUGAGAGGUUGAACGGCCACAUUGGGACUGAGACACGGCCCAGACUCCUACGGGAGGCAGCAUG
rnacentral:rRNA from 1 species